rnacentral:tRNA from 1 species
GCCGGUGUGGCUCAGUGGAUAGAGCGUCAGUCUGAGGACUGAAGGGUCCCAGGUUCAAUUCCCGGGCAGGGCA